rnacentral:rRNA from 1 species
UACGUAGGGACCAAGCGUUGUUCGGAUUUACUGGGCGUAAAGGGCGCGUAGGCGGCAAUUCAAGUCAUCUGUGAAAUCUCCGGGCUUAACCCGGAACGGUCAGAUGAUACUGCUUUGCUAGAGUGCGGAAGGGGCAAUCGGAAUUCUUGGUGUAGCGGUGAAAUGCGUAGAUAUCAGGAAGAACACCCGUGGCGAAAGCGGCUCUCUGGAACGGUACUGACGCUGAGACGCGAAAGCGUGGGGAGCGAACAGG